rnacentral:lncRNA from 1 species
GCCUUAGGAUUAAUGUGAAUGGGCGAAAUAGCUCGUGCUUUGAAGUUGCCAGUGAAAUUGCCUCUGAAGAAGAACGUUAUGGAAUUAGAUGAAUUGAUUGCAUUCAUUGAAGAAUUGGUGUUCAAUUGGAUGCUUUUGCAUGAUGUCAUAUUUUAGUGCAUAUGAAAAUCAAGGAGAGGAAUCUUGGAAAGGUUGAUUCGACUUUGUUGAUAUAGAACAUGUUGCCAGGUGAAG